GACGAACGCUGGCGGCGUGCUUAACACAUGCAAGUCGAACGGAAAGCGAUGGAAGCUUGCUGCUAUCAAUCUUAGUGGCGAACGGGUGAGUAACGCGUAAUCAACCUGCCCUUCAGAGGGGGACACCAGUAGGAAAGGACUACUAAUACCGCAUACGAUCUAAGCUCGGCAUCGGGGGUAGAUUAACGGUGGCCGCGACAUGUCAGCUAUCACAGAAGGAGGGGAGUGCGGCUGAUGAGCAUGAAGGCGUGGAAAGGGACCACCAAGGCGAUGGUCAGUAGUCCGUCUGCGAUGAUGGACGGCCGCCUUGGGACUGUGACCCGGCCCAGUCGCCUUCGGGUGGCAGCAGUGGUGCAUCUUCCGCCAUGGACGAAAGUUUGUCGAAGCUACGCCGCGUGCGUGAUGACGGCCUUCGGGUUGUAAAUCUCGGUUAAUCGGUACGAAAGGCCUUCCUGCGAAUAGGGAGAAGGAUUGACGGUACCGGAAUAGAAAGCCCCGGCUAACUACGUG
rnacentral:rRNA from 1 species